rnacentral:rRNA from 1 species
AUGGAGGCCCUGAGGGUGGAGCUUGCCCUAGCCAAGGAACAAGCCCGGGCUAGCAAUGCGGCUGCCCUAAAGGCGACCGAAGAUUUGAGAGCCGAACAGGCUGCUCAUCGCCGAAGCGAAGAUAAAAUAGCCGAGAUGGUUGUCGAGCUGAGAGACGCCACCGACCGGUAUGAGCUCCUUGAAAAGGAGGAUCAGGCGAAGUCGGCUGACCUGAAGAAGGCCCUUGAUGUGGUCAAGGAGACGCGUUCCGAAAUUAGGGAUGCGCGGGAGGAGCUUCGACAGGACGGAGAAAUCGCGGCUGGAAGCCCCUAUUUGUUGCAGAUGAAGUUCUUAGAUCCAAAGUACGCUCCUCUGGAUCGGCGCUGGAGCGCUGCAGACGCGUAUGCGGAUCUGGCAAAAAGUACGGCUGAUGCGACCAAGUUUUUCGAGGAUCAAAAAGAUAGUGAAGUAGAAAGGCUGUUCUAG